CUGUCCCAUAAUCUAGUUCAGUAGCCAUCAAAUCACAUACCAAAUUAUUUUCCAAUGCUCCAAUGUCAAUUGUGUAGAGAUGGCGUGCAGGGGCCAUCCACUAGAUAAUGUUAUAUUGGUUUUAUUAAGUUGGCUGCUGAGCCAUAUAUCACUCCAAUAUAUCAACCAAGGUUUUGAAAAUUUUUGAUUCUUCCUAAAAUUUCCUCCCCUUUAUGAUUUGACUUGGAUGAAGAAAAUGAAUAGAUAAAUGCAGGCA
rnacentral:lncRNA from 1 species